rnacentral:rRNA from 1 species
AUUGAACGCUGGCGGCAGGCCUAACACAUGCAAGUCGAACGAGUGGCGGACGGGUGAGUAAUGUCUGGGAGACUGCCUGAUGGAGUGGGAUAACUACUGGAAACGGUAGCUAAUACCGCAUAACAUCAGAUGUGCCCCGAUGGGAUUCGAUAGUGGGUGGGGUAAGGGCUCACCAAGGCUACGAUCCCUAGCUGGUCUGAGAGGAUGAACAGCCACACUGGAGCUGAGACACGGGCCAGACUCAUACGGUAGGCAGCAGUGGGGAAUAUUGCACAAUGGGCGCAAGCCUGAUGCAGCCAUGCCGCGUGUAUGAAGAAGGCCUUCGGGUUGUAAAGUACUGUCAGCGGGGAGGCGUUACCCGCAGAAUAAGCACCGGCUAACUCCGUGCCAGCAGCCGCGGUAAUAC